GUUCUGAGUUCUCUAUUCUCUACAUGAGCUCCCAACAGUGUACUGCUUCACAGCCAUUGACCUUACUGGUAGAUAUCCCUGGAAAGUUUCCAGCUCUCAGUUUACUUGAAAUGACUUUCAUGAAGCAGAGAAAAUUGAUUGGGAAGAAAAUUUGCCAGCGUUCAGCUUGAACAGGAAAACUGCUGUGGUGUAUGACAAAGGUACUGGAGAAAUAGCAUAUAAGGGAAGGAUGAAACUAAACCAGGAAUGGAUGAACUUCUGUGGCUACAGGGCUACAGGGAAUGGAAAAACAAGAUACCCUACAUAGCAGGGAGAAGCAUUUGCAAGCCACUUCAAGGGCAACUGUGUGGAAGAGUUUCAGCACAAUAUUGAUGUGGUCAAGACACUUGAGGUCAUGUGCAGAGAAUGGAUCAGAGGAUGGCAAGUCUGAAUGUUUGGAGACUGGUUCUUAAGCCAUGAGAUUUUCUACGUCUUGGUGGAGAGAGUAAGAAAUGAUGUGAGCAGGAAGUCUAUAAAUCUUUGGGUGGUGAUUCUAAAACUGUAGGUAAGUGGCUAUAGUAUUUUAUUUCUACAAUGAGUAUAUGUGUGGUGCUUCUCCCACAAGCUCAUAUAUCCAAAUGUUUGGUCCCCAGUUGAUGGAGCUGUUUGGGAAGGAUUUGGAGGUGUGGACUUGUUGGCGGAGGUGUGUCACUGGGGCUGCGUUUUGGGAUUUCAAAAGUACAAGCCAAGCCAAGUUUCUUUCACUGCUGCCUACUUGCAACAUAGAUGUAAGCUCUCAGAUACUGUUCCAGUGUUUGUCUGCUGCUCUGCUCCCUGUCAUGAUGUCAUGCAUUAACCCAUUAAAAUUAUAAGCAAGCCCUCAAUUAAAUGCUUUAGUUUUAUUGGGUGCCCUGGUCAUGGUGUCCCUUCACAGAACUAUGAAAAUAUCUAAGACAGCAUGUCAUUUCACAUGUAUCAAAACCCACAAAAUACACAGCACACAGAAUAAAUACCAAUGCAUGGCCAUGAUAUAGUUAAAAGCAGUAUCGAUACUGGCUCAUUAGUUUAUGUUAUGUUAUAUGUAUGAGAUAUGUGAUGGCUUGUGCGAUAAAAAUACACAUGCACAU